GGCGCGGACGGCCCUGGAGCCGGCUCGGGGGGCACCCGGGGGGCCGGGAGGAUCCGCUGGCAUCGUGCCCCGGGGCAGGGGGCCCCGGCUCGGGAGGGGCCCGGCCCGGCAGCGGGGAGCCUGGGGACUGGUGCGGGAGCGGCCGGCCUGAGCGAGAGCAGCGGGGAUGGCUGCCGUCCCUGCAGGGCGCCCUCGGCAUGGAGUCCCCAUGACAACGAGAUGCGGCUUUCCAGGGACACCGAUUCCUAGCUCCAAACCUGCAAGGUCCCAGCCUGCCUUGCAAGGUGGGGGGGCAGGGAUCACUCACCCUGCUGCUGAAAUGCAGCCACCUCUGGGGUGGGACGCACUGGAGAGGACGUUGCCGCAAACCCUGCUGCGUGGAUGCUGAACUCCCAGGAAGCAGACAGGGUGGUAGGAAUGUGAGAGCAGCAGUUGUCACCGGUUCACAGCAGCGAACAGUUUUGUCUGGCUCUCGGGACCCGGCUGGCACGAGCCGAGGGAGACCCAACGGAUUCUGCCACCAGCAGCCAGAGACAGCCAGGAAGAUGGGAACGAAUGGGGGGGAGAAGGAGCACCUGACAGCUGUCCAUGAAGGGAUCCUCACCUUCGCUUUCCUGUUACAGAUGGGGAAACUGAGGCACACAGUGACCUUGUCCAAGGUCAUACCGGGAGUCUGCGGUGGAGCUGGG